rnacentral:rRNA from 1 species
AACUGAAUACAUAGGUUAACAGAGCAAACCGGGGGAACUGAAACAUCUAAGUACCCCGAGGAGAAGAAAUCAACCGAGAUUCCGGUAGUAGCGGCGAGCGAACCUGGAUUAGCCCUUAAGCACUCGGUGAAGUAGGUGAACAAGCUGGAAAGCUUGGCGAUACAGGGUGAUAGCCCCGUAACCGACGCUUCAUCGAGCGUGAAAUCGAGUAGGGCGGGACACGUGAUAUCCUGUCUGAAUAUGGGGGGACCAUCCUCCAAGGCUAAAUACUCCUGACUGACCGAUAGUGAACCAGUACCGUGAGGGAAAGGCGAAAAGAACCCCUGUGAGGGGAGUGAAAUAGAACCUGAAACCGUGUACGUACAAGCAGUAGGAGCACCUUCGUGGUGUGACUGCGUACCUUUUGUAUAAUGGGUCAGCGACUUAUAUUCAGUGGCAAGGUUAACCGUAUAGGGGAGCCGUAGCGAAAGCGAGUCUUAACUGGGCGCUCAGUCUCUGGAUAUAGACCCGAAACCGGGUGAUCUAGCCAUGGGCAGGUUGAAGGUUGAGUAACAUCAACUGGAGGACCGAACCGACUAAUGUUGAAAAAUUAGCGGAUGACUUGUGGCUAGGGGUGAAAGGCCAAUCAAACUCGGAGAUAGCUGGUUCUCCCCGAAAGCUAUUUAGGUAGCGCCUCGGACGAAUACUACUGGGGGUAGAGCACUGUUAAGGCUAGGGGGUCAUCCCGACUUACCAACCCUUUGCAAACUCCGAAUACCAGUAAGUACUAUCCGGGAGACACACGGCGGGUGCUAACGUCCGUCGUGGAGAGGGAAACAACCCAGACCGCCAGCUAAGGUCCCAAAGUAUUGCUAAGUGGGAAACGAUGUGGGAAGGCUCAGACAGCUAGGAUGUUGGCUUAGAAGCAGCCAUCAUUUAAAGAAAGCGUAAUAGCUCACUAGUCGAGUCGGCCUGCGCGGAAGAUGUAACGGGGCUAAGCAAUACACCGAAGCUGCGGCAAUAUCUUUUAGAUAUUGGGUAGGGGAGCGUUCUGUAAGCCGUUGAAGGUGAAUCGUAAGGUUUGCUGGAGGUAUCAGAAGUGCGAAUGCUGACAUGAGUAACGACAAAGGGGGUGAAAAACCUCCUCGCCGGAAGACCAAGGGUUCCUGUCCAACGUUAAUCGGGGCAGGGUGAGUCGACCCCUAAGGUGAGGCCGAAAGGCGUAAUCGAUGGGAAACGGGUUAAUAUUCCCGUACUUCUGACUAUUGCGAUGGGGGGACGGAGAAGGCUAGGUGGGCCAGGCGACGGUUGUCCUGGUUCAAGUGCGUAGGCUUGAGAGUUAGGUAAAUCCGGCUCUCUCUAAGGCUGAGACACGACGUCGAGCUGCUACGGCAGUGAAGUCAUUGAUGCCAUGCUUCCAGGAAAAGCCUCUAAGCUUCAGAUAGUCAGGAAUCGUACCCCAAACCGACACAGGUGGUCGGGUAGAGAAUACCAAGGCGCUUGAGAGAACUCGGGUGAAGGAACUAGGCAAAAUGGUACCGUAACUUCGGGAGAAGGUACGCUCUUGAUGGUGAAGUCCCUCGCGGAUGGAGCUGACGAGAGUCGCAGAUACCAGGUGGCUGCAACUGUUUAUUAAAAACACAGCACUGUGCAAAAUCGCAAGAUGACGUAUACGGUGUGACGCCUGCCCGGUGCCGGAAGGUUAAUUGAUGGGGUUAGCGCAAGCGAAGCUCUUGAUCGAAGCCCCGGUAAACGGCGGCCGUAACUAUAACGGUCCUAAGGUAGCGAAAUUCCUUGUCGGGUAAGUUCCGACCUGCACGAAUGGCGUAAUGAUGGCCACGCUGUCUCCACCCGAGACUCAGUGAAAUUGAAAUCGCUGUGAAGAUGCAGUGUACCCGCGGCUAGACGGAAAGACCCCGUGAACCUUUACUACAGCUUGGCACUGAACAUUGAACCUACAUGUGUAGGAUAGGUGGGAGGCUAUGAAGACGUGACGCCAGUUGCGUUGGAGCCGUCCUUGAAAUACCACCCUUGUAUGUUUGAUGUUCUAACUUAGACCCAUUAUCUGGGUUGAGGACAGUGCCUGGUGGGUAGUUUGACUGGGGCGGUCUCCUCCCAAAGAGUAACGGAGGAGCACGAAGGUGGGCUAAUCACGGUUGGACAUCGUGAGGUUAGUGCAAUGGCAUAAGCCCGCUUAACUGCGAGAAUGACGGUUCGAGCAGGUGCGAAAGCAGGUCAUAGUGAUCCGGUGGUUCUGUAUGGAAGGGCCAUCGCUCAACGGAUAAAAGGUACUCCGGGGAUAACAGGCUGAUACCGCCCAAGAGUUCAUAUCGACGGCGGUGUUUGGCACCUCGAUGUCGGCUCAUCACAUCCUGGGGCUGAAGUCGGUCCCAAGGGUAUGGCUGUUCGCCAUUUAAAGUGGUACGCGAGCUGGGUUUAGAACGUCGUGAGACAGUUCGGUCCCUAUCUGCCGUGGGCGUUGGAAGAUUGAAGGGGGCUGCUCCUAGUACGAGAGGACCGGAGUGGACGAACCUCUGGUGUUCGGGUUGUGUCGCCAGACGCAUUGCCCGGUAGCUAAGUUCGGAAUUGAUAAGCGCUGAAAGCAUCUAAGCGCGAAGCGAGCCCUGAGAUGAGUCUUCCC